rnacentral:rRNA from 1 species
AUACGUAGGGGGCUAGCGUUAUCCGGAUUUACUGGGCGUAAAGGGUGCGUAGGUGGUUUCUUAAGUCAGGAGUGAAAGGCUACGGCUCAACCGUAGUAAGCUCUUGAAACUGGGAAACUUGAGUGCAGGAGAGGAAAGUGGAAUUCCUAGUGUAGCGGUGAAAUGCGUAGAUAUUAGGAGGAACACCAGUGGCGAAGGCGACUUACUGGACUGUAACUGACGCUGAGGCUCGAAAGCGUGGGGAGC